rnacentral:rRNA from 1 species
CCCUGCCCUUUGUACACACCGCCCGUCGCUACUUCCGAUUGAAUGGCUCAGUGAGGCCUUCGGACUGGCUCGAAGAGGUUGGCAACGACCACUUCGAGCCGGAAAGUUCGUCAAACUCGGUCAUUUAGAGG